rnacentral:lncRNA from 1 species
AUGGCGUUUAUAGAACGUAAUAUUUCUAGUGACGGAAAGCGUGUGAUGACUCUACAACAGUUCAAGCAAUGGUUAAAGACAUCAUUCGAUGCAAAUGGUGACGGUCGAAUCAGUAAAGGUGAAUUGCGUGAGGCGUUGAGGAUCACCGGUGGAUUCUUCGCUUCGUGGAAGAGUAGUAAAGUGUUGAAAUCUGUUGAUUCUAACCAUGACGGGUUCAUUGAUGAUAAGGAGUUUGUUAACCUUGCACGGUUUGCAGAGAAGCACUUGAACAUAAGAAUCACCAACUAG